UACGUAGGUGGCGAGCGUUGUCCGGAAUUACUGGGCGUAAAGGAUGCGUAGGCGGAAGAUUAAGUCAGAUGUGAAAUCCCCGAGCUUAACUUGGGAAUGGCAUUUGAAACUGGUUUUCUAGAGUGCAGGAGAGGAAAGCGGAAUUCCUAGUGUAGCGGUGAAAUGCGUAGAUAUUAGGAAGAACACCAGUGGCGAAGGCGGCUUUCUGGACUGUAACUGACGCUGAGGCAUGAAAGCGUGGGGAGCAAACAGGAUUAGAUACCCUGGUAGUCCACGCCGUAAACGAUGAGUGCUAGGUGUAGGAGGUAUCGACACCUUCUGUGCCGCAGUAAACGCAAUAAGCACUCCGCCUGGGGAGUACGGUCGCAAGACUAAA
rnacentral:rRNA from 1 species